rnacentral:snRNA from 1 species
AACCACUUCGGUGGUCAUCCGUAAAAAGUGGAAAGAUACAGAGAAGAUUAGCAUGGCCCCUUUGUCAAGGAUGACACGCAUAAAUCGAGAAGUAUCCGCGUCUCUC